rnacentral:rRNA from 1 species
UAAGCGGAGGAAANGAAACUAACAAGGAUUCCCCUAGUACUGCGAGUGAAGCGGGAAAAGCUCAAAUUUAAAAUCUGGUGGUCUUUGGCCAUNCGAGUUGUAAUCUAGAGAAGCGUCUUUCCGCGCUGGACCGUGCACAAGUCUCCUGGAACGGAGCGUCGUAGAGGGUGAGAAUCCCGUCUUUGGCAUGGACACACCAGGGCUUUUGUGAUGCGCUCUCGAAGAGUCGAGUUGUUUGGGAAUGCAGCUCAAAAUGGGUGGUGAACUCCAUCUAAAGCUAAAUAUUGGCGAGAGACCGAUAGCGAACAAGUACCGUGAGGGAAAGAUGAAAAGCACUUUGGAAAGAGAGUGAAACAGUACGUGAAAUUGUUGAAAGGGAAACGCUUGAAGUCAGUCGCGUCGACCGAGACUCAGCCUCGCCUCGGCUUGGCGUACUUCUCGGCCCGACGGGUCAGCAUCAAUUUCGCCUCUUGGAUAAUGGCGAGGGAAACGUGACACCUUUACGGUGUGUUAUAGUCUCUCGUCGCAUGCAAGGGUCGGGAUUGAGGAACUCAGCACGCGCCUUUGGGCGUCGGGGCUUUGCCUACGAUACGUGCUUAGGAUGUUGGCGUAAUGGCUUUAAACGACC